AGGCCUAUUAUAACAUUGCAUUCAGUUAGAGAGCAAAGGAAUGACAACAUAACCGGUACAUUAUUGGUUUUGUAUUGCUUUUUACCUUCUUCUCUCGGAACUCUAUCGUUUUUAUUCAGGAAAUUUUCUAUUCUUCUUUUUAGCGUUUAUUUUAGGCUAUAAAACACAGGCGGCGGUGUUUUAUCCUAUUGGUGAUUAAUAUAAAAUAAACGCUAAAAAGAAGACUAUUUUGUGAGUGCGGAUCAUGGUCUCAUAGGCUACUAUGAAAAAUAAUGUUUAAUAAACACAAUACUAUGCAUCCCGCACCGUGGUUGAAUCUGCCGGUGGGGGCGGGGCCACAAAUCCAUGAGUUUGCAUUUACAAACCCGAGGGAACGGAUUGCGAAAGCGUGCGCACGGAUUAUGAAUUUGUGGGUACGGAUUCAAAAUCCGAAGCGGCCAUUUUGUGUUCUGUCCUGCGAGAAAACUUGACUGACGGGAAACUUCCUGAAUGAAAUUAAACUAAUGUCUGCUUGGAAUGCUAGCCUUCUACAAACGCAGCAUUCACCGGAUCUACACUCAAAGCGAACGACGCACCGCCACCACCUCCCGCUGAACGAAUGCGUGAACAGGGAAGGUUUUCUUCCCACAGAUUCCCAUUAGCUGCUCUUGCUACUACUGUCACGUCCAAAAACCUUUACUGAAUGUUUUUUUGAGUAUUUUAUGUAAAAGACUGA